rnacentral:tRNA from 6 species
GCGGAAGUGCUGGAAUUGGCAGACAGGCUAGAUUCAGGUUCUAGUGUUGCUUAGCGACGUGAGGGUUCAAGUCCCUUCUUCCGCA